GGAACAGAUGGUUGUGAAAUCAUGUGCUGUGGCCGAGGGUACGACACAACUCGAGUCACCCGUGUCACUCAGUGUGAGUGCAAAUUCCACUGGUGCUGUGCUGUGCGAUGCAAGGAGUGCAGAAACACUGUGGAUGUCCAUACUUGCAAGGCCCCCAAGAAGGCAGAGUGGCUGGACCAGACCUGAACACACAGAUACCUCACCGUCCCUCAACUUCAAGCCUCCCAACUCAAAAGCACAAGAUCCUUGCAUGCACACCUUUCUCCACCCUCAACCCUGGGCUGCUAUAGCUUCUAUUUAAGGACUUGCAGAAUAAUCCAGAAGGACUAUGGUGUCCUGGUUCCUUAGCCCUGGGAAGGAGUUAAUAGGGGAUAUAAGAAACUGAGUGGCUCCCUGAUUUCCCCUUUGGAGGUUUGAAGGGAGAGCAGAAGAAGUAGGGGGUCUUCGGAGUGAUUUGAGUUGCACUAAAGUACCUGGUCAAGGCUCAUUUUUCCUUUCCCUUGCACUGGUUUCUAAUACUUCUUGGAUGUGUAAGAGAAAGGGUACCUAGAAACAGCUUUCUUUUGACCCUACCCUGGCUGAGGGUGGACAGGACAGAGAUGAUACUGCAUGAUCCUUUACUGAAGACAGUUUGAGCAGACUGCCUGGUUCUCCAAGAGAUACUCU
rnacentral:lncRNA from 1 species